ACAGGGACACUUCAUCUUCUGUGGAGCUACACGAGUGAACAAAAACAAGCCAUAGGUCACAACAAGCGGAGAAUGGAGCUGGCAAAAGGUCAACAGCUUUGCACAUCCAGCGAGCCACAAUUAGCGAGGUGGUCCCUUUGAUUGUGUCCAUGCCUGAGGAACUCAGCGAUGGCCGGCUGCCGGCGGCGAGAAUAGGGGCACCUGGCAAUGGAAAAGAGGAAUGCCUCUCAGAGACGGGAGACGUGGGCACUUUGCGGGACACCUCACAGCGGGGCAGCUCCAAGCGGGACGGGGAGGGGUGCUGAAGUGGAAGGCGGUGAGAGCGGAUCGCGGCCUCCCUCCAGCUGAAUAGCGGCCUGACCCGAGGCACUCGCCGCUUCAUCCCUUAUUCCUCGAUCCCUCAGAGUCCGGCAUAUAGUCAAAAAAUCCCAAAGCCAAACACAGACAGUGAAAAAAAAAUGUCAAAGUCUCUGUACCUAAAGAUAAGCAAACUGUAUGACAGAAUGUUGUAUUUGUCACAGAGACAAUUAUGAGAGUUAUGGGCAGUUCAGCGUAUAGCGUGUUGGUCGUUAACGUACGAAAGAGAUCAUUAAACAUUAAACAUGAACAAGAAUCAUGGGCAGCUAUAAAUAAUGUACAAUUAGCAGCAAUGUGACAGGUGGUCCUGCAAAGUG